UCCGAAUGCAUCUACAUAGAUNGUAUGAUCAUGGCUCAGAUUGAACGCUGGCGGCAUUGCCUAACACAUGCAAGUCGAGCGGAUGACUGGGAGCUUGCUCCUUGAUUCAGCGGCGGACGGGUGAGUAAUGCCUAGGAAUCUGCCUGGUAGUGGGGGACAACGUUUCGAAAGUGAACGCUAAUACCGCAUACGUCCUACGGGAAGAAAUGCAUGUGGUGACCUUCUGGUGCCCUUGCUGCCUAUCAAUGAUGAUGCCUUA
rnacentral:rRNA from 1 species